rnacentral:rRNA from 6 species
GUCUGCAUGGAGCCGACCUUGAAAUACCACCCUUUAAUGUUUGAUGUUCUAACGUGGACCCGUGAUCCGGGUUGCGGACAGUGUCUGGUGGGUAGUUUGACUGGGGCGGUCUCCUCCUAAAGAGUAACGGAGGAGCACGAAGGUUGGCUAAUCCUGGUCGGACAUCAGGAGGUUAGUGCAAUGGCAUAAGCCAGCUUGACUGCGAGCGUGACGGCGCGAGCAGGUGCGAAAGCAGGUCAUAGUGAUCCGGUGGUUCUGAAUGGAAGGGCCAUCGCUCAACGGAUAAAAGGUACUCCGGGGAUAACAGGCUGAUACCGCCCAAGAGUUCAUAUCGACGGCGGUGUUUGGCACCUCGAUGUCGGCUCAUCACAUCCUGGGGCUGAAGUAGGUCCCAAGGGUAUGGCUGUUCGCCAUUUAAAGUGGUACGCGAGCUGGGUUUAGAACGUCGUGAGACAGUUCGGUCCCUAUCUGCCGUGGGCGCUGGAGAACUGAGGGGGGCUGCUCCUAGUACGAGAGGACCGGAGUGGACGCAUCACUGGUGUUCGGGUUGUCAUGCCAAUGGCACUGCCCGGUAGCUAAAUGCGGAAGAGAUAAGUGCUGAAAGCAUCUAAGCACGAAACUUGCCCCGA